AGCUUCAAGAACCAUUUUUUUUUCUUCCUCAACAUCCGUCUGCAAUUGAAGGUGAGACUUCGCAAGGGAAUCGAGAUACCAAAGGGAAGGAAGUGUAGAGAAUUAUUCAAUUGAGGUUGAGCGGCGACGAGAGUACGGUGGUGUUGAGCAAGUAAAUUGGUAAAUGAACUGUUGUUUUUGAAUUAUGGGUGUCGUUGUGUCUUCACACAUGACGUCACUCUUACUCUUGAUCGUUUCCGCUGUGACAUUUCUUUCACUUAUCGUUUAUUGGGCUUGCAACCUGAAUUAUUUGGAUAUUGAAUAUUUUGGGAUUUUACUAAUUUAUGUCAAAUUCUUGGUCGUUUUAUUUGAA